GAUGAACGCUGGCGGCGUGCUUAAUACAUGCAAGUCGAACGAAGUGAAGUAAAGCUUGCUUUAUGGAACUUAGUGGCGAACGGGUGAGUAAUACAUAAGCAACCUGCCCAUCGGACUGGGAUAACUGUUGGAAACGAUAGCUAAUACCGGAUAGGUAAACGGAAGGCAUCUUCUGUUUAUUAAAGUUUAGAUACACUGAUGGAUGGGCUUAUGGCGCAUUAGCUAGUUGGUGAGGUAACGGCCCACCAAGGCUGUGAUGCGUAGCCGACCUGAGAGGGUGACCGGCCACAUUGGGACUGAGACACGGCCCAAACUCCUACGGGAGGCAGCAGUAAGGAAUUUUCGGCAAUGGGCGCAAGCCUGACCGAGCAACGCCGCGUGAGUGAUGAAGGCCUUAUGGGUUGUAAAACUCUGUUGUAAAGGAAGAACACUAUUGAUAGAAUCAGUAGCUGACGGUACUUUACCAGAAAGCCACGGCUAACUACGUG
rnacentral:rRNA from 2 species